UACGUAGGGGGCGAGCGUUAUCCGGAAUUAUUGGGCGUAAAGGGUGCGUAGGCGGCCAUGUAAGUCUAAGUUAAAAGCCCACGGCUUAACCGUGGAGGGUGCUUGGAAACUGCAUGGCUUGAAUCCAGAAGAGGCAAGUGGAAUUCUAUGUGGAGCGGUGGAAUGCGUAGAUAUAUGGAGGAUCACCAGUGGCGAAGGCGGCUUGCUGGGCUGGUAUUGACGCUGAUGCACGAAAGCGUGGGGAGCAAAUAGGAUUAGAUACCCUGGUAGUCCACGCCGUAAACGAUGAGAACUAAGUGUUGGGGAAACUCAGUGCUGAAGUUAACACAUUAAGUUCUCCGCCUGGGGAUUACGACCGCAAGGUUGAA
rnacentral:rRNA from 1 species